GCUGUAGCUCAGUGGUAGAGCAUUUGCCUAGCAUGUGUAAGGCCCUGAGUUCAAUCCCCAGUACUGCA
rnacentral:tRNA from 1 species